UGCCGAGGCUAGCGCGUUAACUCUGCUAAUAGGGGAGAGAUUGUUUUAUUUUCCUUAUCUCUCACACCCCUGACAUAGGGUUAUGAAGGCCCAGAAAGAGUAGCUCGUCAUUUUUAAUGAGCAUUGGCAGCCAAAAAGCAGCUGUGUUUUUUUUAAGUGCAUUUUUUAUUUUUAAAGACGGAGACUGAUAGUUUGCUGGUGACCAGAGGCAGGUUUUUUCAUUCUACAUUUUUUUUCGUCGGCCUGACUGCUGUACACUCCAAGUAUGUCGUCUCUGGGUGUCUCCCUUCCUCUGGAUAGACUUAAUUCGACCAAUUAUGAAUCCUGGUCAAUUAAAAUGCAGGCUUAUCUCAUAAAGGAAGGUUUAUGGGAUGUUGUAGAGAAUACUCCAGCCAAUGAUGACCGUGCUGGGCAGAGGACUGACAGACGUGCCAAAGCCUGCAUAAUUCUUGCUGUAGAGGACUCACAGCUGUUGCAUAUCAGGUCAGAAGUAAAUGCUGCUGCCUGCUGGGCAAAGUUGAAAGUCAUUUACCAACGUGAAACUGCAGGAGUUAAAAUGCUGUUAUGUCGUAAGCUGUAUAAUUUAAGGCUGCAGCCUAAUGCUUCGCUUACUGAACAUAUCAAUCAAAUGCGUUCAUUAUUUGAUCAACUUGAUAUGAGAGGAAUGCACAUAGAGGAUGUACAGAGGCCCUACAUUUUGUUAUCAUCCUUGGACAGUAAUUGGGAGCAAUUAAUAUUGAGUCUACAGCAUAUUGACGAAGCACUGCUUACUUUUGACUUUGUAGCAACAAAACUCAUUGACUGUGAAAAGCAGCGUGUUUAUCAAAGAGAGCAAGCUCAUUCCUCAAAAGGGACAUUAGCUGGUGCAAGUUCUUCUGUUGCUGCUUCCUUGACAAAUGCACCAAAAGCCUUAAAGUGUUUUAAAUGUGGUCGCAUGGGACAUAUGGCUAAAAAUUGUACAAAGCCCAAACAAAAGAGAGGUUCUUACAAGAAGCCAUUUGAUAAAG
rnacentral:lncRNA from 1 species